rnacentral:tRNA from 1 species
GGGCCUCUAGCUCAAUUGGUUAGAGCCGGCCGCUCAUAACGGUCUGGUUGUCGGUUCGAGUCCGGCGGGGCCCACCA